AGAGUUUGAUCCUGGCUCAGAAUGAACGCUGGCGGCGUGCUUAACACAUGCAAGUCGCACGAGAACGCUUCAGCUUGCUGAAGCUAGUAAAGUGGCGCACGGGUGAGUAACGCGUGGGUAAUCUACCCUCGAAUUGGGGAUAACAUCGCGAAAGCGAUGCUAAUACCGGAUAAUAUCUUAAAAACUUCGGUUUUAAAGAUCAAAGGUGGCCCCUACAUGUAAGCUACUGUUUGAGGAUGAGCCCGCGUACCAUUAGCUUGUUGGUAGGGUAAUGGCCUACCAAGGCCGCGAUGGUUAGCUGGUCUGAGAGGAUGAUCAGCCACACUGGAACUGACACACGGUCCAGACUCCUACGGGAGGCAGCAGUGAGGAAUUUUGCGCAAUGGGGGAAACCCUGACGCAGCAACGCCGCGUGAGUGAUGAAGGCUUUCGGGUCGUAAAGCUCUGUCAAGUGGGAAGAAUUCACAUGGUGAUAAUACCACUGUGUGCUGACGUACCACUGAAGAAGCACCGCUAAC
rnacentral:rRNA from 1 species